CAGCCGCCACGGUAAUACGGAGGGUGCAAGCGUUAAUCGGAAUUACUGGGCGUAAAGCGCACGCAGGCGGUCUGACAAGUCAGAUGUGAAAUCCCCGGGCUUAACCUGGGAACUGCAUUUGAAACUGUCAGGCUGGAGUCUUGUAGAGGGGGGUGGAAUUCCAGGUGUAGCGGUGAAAUGCGUAGAGAUCUGGAGGAAUACCGGUGGCGAAGGCGGCCCCCUGGACAAAGACUGACGCUCAGGUGCGAAAGCGUGGGGAGCAAACAGGAUUAGAGACCCGCGUAGUCCCUGUCUCUUAUAC
rnacentral:rRNA from 1 species